GACGAACGCCGGCGGCGUGCUUAACCUAUGCAAGACGAACGGAAAGGCCCUGCUUGCAGGGUACUCGCGUGGCGAACGGGUGAGUAACACGUGGGUGUUCUGCCCUGCACUUCGGGAUACGCCUGGGCAACUGGGUCCAAUACCGGAUAGGCGCCCCUCUUCGUGAGAAGGCUGGAAUGCUUUUUCGGUGUAGGCUGAGCUCGCGGCCUAUCAGCUUGUUGGUGGGGUAAUGGCCUACCAAGGCGGCGACGGGUAGCCGGCCUGAGAGGGUGGACGGCCACAUUGGGACUGAGAUACAGCCCAGACUCCUACGGGAGGCAGCAGUGGGGAAUAUUGCACGAUGGGCGCAAGCCUGAUGCAGCGACGCCGCGUGGGGGAUGACGGCCUUCGGGUUGUAAACUCCUUUCGCUAGGGACGAAGCUUUUUGUGACGGUACCUAGAUAAGAAGCACCGGCUAACUACGUG
rnacentral:rRNA from 1 species